rnacentral:rRNA from 1 species
UACGAAGGGUGCAAGCGUUAAUCGGAAUUACUGGGCGUAAAGCGUGCGUAGGCGGUUCGUUAAGUCUGUUGUGAAAGCCCCGGGCUCAACCUGGGAAUGGCAAUGGAUACUGGCGAGCUAGAGUGUGUCAGAGGAUGGUGGAAUUCCCGGUGUAGCGGUGAAAUGCGUAGAGAUCGGGAGGAACAUCAGUGGCGGAAGGCGGCCAUCUGGGACAACACUGACGCUGAGGCACGAAAGCGUGGGGAGCAAACAGG